AGUGAACGCUGGCGGUAGGCCUAACACAUGCAAGUCGAACGGCAGCACAGUAAGAGCUUGCUCUUACGGGUGGCGAGUGGCGGACGAGUGAGGAAUACAUCGGAAUCUACUUUUUCGUGGGGGAUAACGUAGGGAAACUUACGCUAAUACCGCAUACGACCUACGGGUGAAAGCAGGGGAUCUUCGGACCUUGCGCGAUUGAAUGAGCCGAUGUCGGAUUAGCUAGUUGGCGGGGUAAAGGCCCACCAAGGCGACGAUCCGUAGCUGGUCUGAGAGGAUGAUCAGCCACACUGGAACUGAGACACGGUCCAGACUCCUACGGGAGGCAGCAGUGGGGAAUGUUGGACAAUGGGCGCAAGCCUGAUCCAGCCAUACCGCGUGGGUGAAGAAGGCCUUCGGGUUGUAAAGCCCUUUUGUUGGGAAAGAAAAGCAGCAGGUUAAUACCCCGCUGUUCUGACGGUACCCAAAGAAUAAGCACCGGCUAACUUCGUG
rnacentral:rRNA from 1 species